UCACCAAAACAUUGUUUUGUGACUAGCUGGUACAGCGGGCUCUGAGUGGCUUGGUGGCCAACUUGACAUCUUUUUGGUUAUGAAAUGUAUGUGGAAAUUAAAAAAUAAAUCUUACAGACAGGUACUGUGGGAUUACUGACAGUUCUCUUCCUCUGUCCCACUUUUACAGUAGGGAUGGUUGUGGAAUUGACUCUUCCAAUGGAGAAAUAAGAGAAAGACUGGGCUUUCUUUGUUUGAUUUGAAGCCUUUUAGUGCAGUGCUAAAUGUACAUGAAGCAGAGGGAAGAGAGCAAAGCAGGUGAGAGUAGUUUCUGUUUCAGGUGUUAAAUCCACUCCCUACACCCCUGCUGAGGUGGGAGGGAUGGAACACAGGAUUCUCUCAGGCUGACACAAGGACCUUGUUUCAGUUUUCUGCAAACAGAUUUGGAAUUUUCACUUGGAAAACGGAAGGUGAAGAUGAUUCCCAACUUGUAAAUUUAAACUCCUCCUGGUAGCAUGGAGAAUGUGCUGUGAGCAAGAACUUGAGGUCACUCACAUGCUGGAAGUGCAGCUCAGAUGAAAUGCUGCAGAAACCCUGGAGGAGCUCUGCAGUGCCAGAGGCAGAGGGCAGAAUGAACGGGAUAAAAACUUCUUUGUGUAAAAUUCUGCCAUGGUGAGGGAUGGAUGGGGUCUGGACUGGAGAAGCAGAGUCCAGCAAUUUGUAUCAUCUCUGCAAUAUGUAUGGUGCAGCUUUGGACGUUCCUAAUGUGCCACAGAUGGUCUGGUUGGGCUGCAGGACUGCCAAAACUCCUACUGAGGCCAUGUCCUGGACAGAAGUAUUCUGUGAAGGUUACAGCCAGCAGGAUUAUGCAAACCACAACUAACUCAGAACAGAUUCUUUACAUCCAGAUAGCUCCAGUGAGAUGUCAGCACUCAUAGCCACUCUCCCCAGCAUUAAUUCAGAUUUACAGCUGCAUUUUGUGCUUACAGAUGUAUGUAUAAUGUACACAGAGCUGUGCAAAAUGUGAUUUCUUUGUCAUCCUGCCCACGGGGGCUCUCCAGGUGAGGUUCAAACACUCUUUGAAGGGUUCUUGCCAGAGGCAAAGCUCUUCCCCUCCAAAGUGUGGCAGCUCAGCACAAAAGCCUGGUCAGUUGUCAAGGGGAAAGAGCUCCAUUUCUGGGAUGAGAAAGAGCAAACAGAAAGAAUUAAUCAAUAUUUCAGAAGUUUUCAAUGGGAAUAUAUGUGCUGAUGAAUUUGAAUGGAUGUGUGCAUUUUUUCCUAGGAGUUUUGCUCGUGGUUGGUUUUGGUGCUCAGUCCAGUGUUGUACUAAUGCCCAUUACCAUUGAAACGCUCUUGAAAUGUCUGAGGAAAGGAAAUAUUGACUCAGGCAGAAUGUAGAAAAGGUUUUGUGUUUUUCCAGCUUCCUAGAUGUGUUUUAGGUGGAAAUAAUCAUCCCGUUAUUAAUUCAUAACUUGUUUCUUUCUACAACCCGUGGAAAUAAUAGAUAAACAUUAGCCAGAAGUCAAAUUGCUUUGUGUGCUGCAGAGAUUUUUUCCUAGAGUUUAAUUGUUCUUAUUUUAGAUGUUCUUUCUUUUGCAUCAUUUGAUCCUAUUAAAAUUUGCUAUCCUAAAAUACCAUUUUAAAAGGAUUUGACAACAAAAGAAAUACGAGCUCCACUGUGUUUAUCCCUGCUGAGACAUGUAUUGCUCUCAUCUUAAUGCAGGAUUUAAUUUCACAUGCUUUACUUUAUGCCAAGUCAGAGCAAAUAAAUAUCUUGUUCCGUUAUAAUCUGUCCUGGGCCUUUUGUUUCUAAUGGAUCAAAAUUCCUCAUUCUAAGGCAAAAGAAAAAAAAAAAAAAAGUGUGAGGGGGGAAACAGAAGUAUUUAAUUCAAAAAAUAUGAGCACCUUCCAAAGGAAUAGCACAGAUGUAAUAAUAAAAAAAGGGAAACAGAAAGAAAAAUCUACUUUUGGGAGAGACAAUAAAUGUCUAAAGAGGCCUUGCUUUCUGCACUUUGGAUAUCAGAAAAGUGACGGAAAAUGCAAGGAGAGGUGCAGCUCAAAUCUUGCACUCCCACACUUCAUCUUUCUCUUAACAUGAAAAUGAACAAAUUCUUUUGCAGUUGUUGAUUUCAAAGUUCUGUUUUCUCACUUCUCUUUGAUCCUGGUUUAGACGCUGAGAGGCUUUUUGCAUAAAUAGAACUGUUAAUUGUUAAUAAUUAACUAAUAUUCACAAAUAAAUAGAAGGAAAACAUAGAAUUGUUUUAAUUAGGACCUUUAUGAAAGAGAGAAGGCAGCAUAAUUAAUUUACCUGUAAGUUAAUUUGCAGAGUGAUUGCUCUCUGAUAGGGUAAAUAGGAUUGUGGAGCUGGAAACCCAUUUCCUAUGCUUUAGGCCAUUAUUUUUUUCAGUUAAAAUUGCUAUCCUUGGCAUACUGAAAGCAUGGAGUUGAAGAUAUUAAGAUCAAAUUAAAUGCUUUCAUGAGCAAGUUCUUCAAAGUAUUUCAUACCUCAAGUCUUUAUUUUUAGACCAGAUUGAAAUGUCACAAAAGAGGCAGCUCUAGUUCCCCUGUCCAUAUAAACCUCCAUUACUUACAAGCUACAAAAUAAAUGAG